GUCGAGAAUAAUUCACAAUGGGGGAAACCCUGAUGGUGCAACGCCGCGUGGAGGAUGAAGGUCUUCGGAUUGUAAACUCCUGUCAUCCGAGAGUAAGACCUGGCGGUAAAUAGCCGACAGGGUUGAUAGUAUCGGAAGAGGAAGGGACGGCUAACUUCGUGCCAGCAGCCGCGGUAAUACGAAGGUCCCAAGCGUUGUUCGGAAUCACUGGGCGUAAAGGGAGCGUAGGCGGCAUGGUAAGUCAGGUGUGAAAUCCCGGGGCUCAACCCCGGAACUGCACCCGAUACUGCCAUGCUGGAGGGUUGGAGAGGUGACUGGAAUUCUCGGUGUAGCAGUGAAAUGCGUGGAUAUCGAGAGGAACACUCGUGGCGAAGGCGAGUCACUGGACAACAUCUGACGCUGAGGCUCGAAGGCUAGGGGAGCAAAAGGGAUUAGAUACCCUAGUAGUCC
rnacentral:rRNA from 1 species